rnacentral:rRNA from 1 species
UACGGAGGAUCCGAGCGUUAUCCGGAUUUAUUGGGUUUAAAGGGAGCGUAGGCGGGUUGUUAAGUCAGUUGUGAAAGUUUGCGGCUCAACCGUAAAAUUGCAGUUGAUACUGGCAUCCUUGAGUACAGUAGAGGUAGGCGGAAUUCGUGGUGUAGCGGUGAAAUGCUUAGAUAUCACGAAGAACUCCGAUUGCGAAGGCAGCCUGCUGGACUGUAACUGAUGCUGAUGCUCGAAAGUGUGGGUAUCAAACAGG